rnacentral:rRNA from 1 species
AUGAACAACAAGAUGACUAGAGAUGCUCUCGGGGUCAAGGGGGAAACAAUUGACGAGUGGGUGAGAUGCAAAAAAGAACUCCCCUACACACAGGACAUGCCAAGCAGCAUACCGUACCAUCUUAAUCUCACCAAAAGAGGCUACCGUGCACUUGUGUACAGCCUCCUCUUGAAAUCAGUACGCAAGUUAAGCCAUUCACAGCUUGCACCAGGUGGGCUGAGUUGUUCGUUUAUUCAUCCCAAGGCCUCCAACGGCCUAAACAGUCCGGUGCAGGCAGACUGGGUUGAAAAGAUACAUAUCCCCAUUCAACUCAUGUCAUUGGACCCUAGAGCUGACAAUAUGUCAUUGGACCCUAGAGCUGACAAUAGGCAUCUCUGCACAAUCUUAAGCAUGCAUGGAACAAGUGGAUGA